rnacentral:rRNA from 1 species
AAGUAGUGAGAAACCAGGACCUUUACCUUGAAAAAAUUAGAGUGUUCAAAGCAGGCUUAUGUCUGAAUACAUUAGCAUAGAAUAAUAAAAUAGGACGGUGGUCAUGUUUUGUUGGUUUCUGAAUCACCGUAAUGAUUAAUAGAGAUAGUUGGGGCAUUAAUAUUAAUUGUUAGAGGUAAAAUUCUUGGAUUUAUUGAAGACUAAUUUCUGCGAAAGCAUUUGCCAAGGAUGUUUUCAUUAAUCAAAAACAAAAGUUAGGGGAUCGAAGAUGAUUAGAUACCGUCGUAGUCUUAACCAUAAACUAUGCCGACUAGGGAUCGGAUGAUAUUAAUUUUUCUUGACUCGUUCAGCGCCUUAUG